rnacentral:rRNA from 1 species
UACGUAGGGGGCGAGCGUUGUCCGGAGUUACUGGGCGUAAAGGGUGUGUAGGCGGUUGUUUAAGUUUGGUGUGAAAUCUCCCGGCUCAACUGGGAGGGUGCGCCGAAUACUGAAUGACUUCGAGUGCGGGAGAGGAAAGUGGAAUUCCUGGUGUAGCGGUGAAAUGCGUAGAUAUCAGGAGGAACACCGGUGGUGUAGACGGCUUUCUGGACCGUAACUGACGCUGAGACACGAAAGCGUGGGUAGCAAACAGG